UCAGAGCAUGGCUGUCCUGGAGCUGCUCCUCUGCCUGGUGAACUUUCCAAGCUGUGUCCUGUCCCAGGUCCAGCUGAAGGAGUCAGGACCUGGGCUGGUGCAGCCCUCACAGAUCCUAUCCAACACGUGCACUGUCUCUGUGUUCUCAUUAACUAGCACUGGUGUAUACUGGGUUGGCCAGCCUCCAGGAAAGGGUCUGGAGUGGAUGGGAAUAAUGGAAUAUAAUGGAAACACAGGCUAUAAUUCAGCUCUCAAAUCCAGACUGAGGAUCAGCAGAGACACCUCCAAGAGCCAAGUUUUCUUAAAAAUGAACAGUUUGCAAACUGAUGACACAGCCACUUACUACUGUGCUAGAAACACAAUGAGGGAAGUCCAGAGUGAACCUGCACAAAAAAAUUCUCGGCAGUGA